rnacentral:rRNA from 1 species
AUUGAACGCUGGCGGCAUGCUUUACACAUGCCAGUCGAACGGUAACAGGUCUUCGGAUGCUGACGAGUGGCGCACGGGUGAGUAAUACAUCGGAACGUGCCUAGUAGUGGGGGAUAACUACUCGAAAGAGUAGCUAAUACCGCAUGAGAUCUACGGAUGAAAGCAGGGGACCUUCGGGCCUUGUGCUACUAGAGCGGCUGAUGGCAGAUUAGGUAGUUGGUGGGGUAAAGGCUUACCAAGCCUGCGAUCUGUAGCUGGUCUGAGAGGACGACCAGCCACACUGGGACUGAGACACGGCCCAGACUCCUACGGGAGGCAGCAGUGGGGAAUUUUGGACAAUGGGCGAAAGCCUGAUCCAGCAAUGCCGCGUGCAGGAUGAAGGCCCUCGGGUUGUAAACUGCUUUUGUACGGAACGAAAAGCCUGGGGCUAAUAUCCCCGGGUCAUGACGGUACCGUAAGAAUAAGCACCGGCUAACUACGUG